GCCGGGAUAGCUCAGCUGGGAGAGCAACAGACUGAAGCCGAUCGAGAUCGGGCGAUUUCUGGAGGUCGUGUGUUCAAUCCACGCUCCUGGCA
rnacentral:tRNA from 1 species